rnacentral:rRNA from 1 species
GACGAACGCUGGCGGCGUGCCUAACACAUGCAAGUUGAGCGACGAACCAGGGCUUGCCCUGGGGCAAAGCAGCGAACGGGUGAGUAACACGUGGGUAACCUACCCCGAUAACCGGGACAACCCGAGGAAACUCGGGCUAAUACCGGAUGUGCUCACUGGACUUCGGUUCAGUGCGUAAAGGAAGCUUCGGCCUCCGUAUCGGGAGGGGCCCGCGGCCCAUUAGUUUGUUGGUGAGGUAACGGCUCACCAAGACCGCGAUGGGUAGCUGGUCUGAGAGGACGAUCGGCCGCACGGGAACGGAGACACGGCCCAGACUCCUACGGGAGGCAGCAGUGGGGAAUCUGGCGCAAUGCGCGAAAGCGUGACGCAGCAACGCCGCGUGGGGGAAGAAGGCCUUCGGGUUGUAAACCCCUUUCAGGAGGGGCGAAGGUUCGGCGGUGAAUAGCCGUCCGGACUGACGGUACCUCCACAAGAAGCCCCGGCUAACUACGUG